UAGUACCUGCAGGAAGAGAAAGAAAAUUCGAUUCCCUGAGUAGCGGCGAGCGAAACGGGAAGAGCCCAAACCAACAAGCUUGCUUGUUGGGGUUGUAGGACUCCGAUAUGGUAGUCUGUUAGUAUAGUUGAAGGAUUUGGAAAAUUCCGCUAAAGAGGGUGAAAGCCCCGUAGACGAAAUGCUGACAACACCUAGGAGGAUCCUGAGUACGGCGGAACACGAGAAAUUCCGUCGGAAUCCGCGGGGACCAUCCCGCAAGGCUAAAUACUCCCUAGUGACCGAUAGUGAACCAGUACCGUGAGGGAAAGGUGAAAAGCACCCCGGAAGGGGAGUGAAAUAGAUCCUGAAACCGUGUGCCUACAACAAGUCAAAGCUCGUUAAUGAGUGAUGGCGUGCCUUUUGUAGAAUGAACCGGCGAGUUACGAUUGCAUGCGAGGUUAAGUCGAAGAGACGGAGCCGCAGCGAAAGCGAGUCUGAAUAGGGCGAAUGAGUAUGUAGUC
rnacentral:rRNA from 1 species